rnacentral:sRNA from 1 species
GGGUUUGUAAUGAUUUAACCCGCAAUGGGGUUUAGUCAGUUUGUAUUUGUUCUGUUUUUGUCGUAAAGUCACUGUUUGUUUGCAGUUGGUUUGUUUUUUUGAUCUUUGCAUCAAGGAAGAGCAGAGGUCUUUGCACUCGCUGUCGGUCUGAAACAUCGCCAUCGAACGUGGAUUUAUCUUGUAAUGCCGCCAUAAAGAUCGGCCUAAAAUGUCAAAAACACUAAAAAAAGCUUCCAUUAUUACAAUCGAAAUUGUAAAAUGAAAGCUGUGAUAUACAAAGAGUAGAAACAAUGCAAAAACAAGGCUUACUUACCGAUUUGAACUUGAAAGACUUCAAUCGAUAUACAUCCCUCGUGGUUUGGAGAGCCAGCGUUUUUCUUGACCAGCGUCAUUUCGUAGUUGUCAUGGCAUCGUCUUACGUCAUGUCAGAUCGUUCUUUUUGGUCAGCGUCAUCGUUCAUAACAAAUAAGAAGCUAAUGCGCAUAUGCGUACGAUUUUUCGACGUAUGAAAUUGAAGCGAAGCAUUGAUGAAAGCCCACAUUGAUGGAAAUACAAAAAAAUCGUCAUAUAUAAGAGACGGCUUCUCAUAACAGAUAAGCAUAGACAUGACGGGGUAAGGUAUAAUUUUAUAGGCGGCAAAUCUGGGGUCAGAUUCGAAGGGUGGGACACAAUGCAGAAUGUUCAUCCCCAGGAGGGGGGUAUAGUGGCAUGAAAGUCUCAAGUCACGUGAUAGUUAACUUACUGACCUACAAACCGAUAACAUAGUGGUUCCCCGUCUAAAAGACGGGAGUAACCACAAAAAGCGUACUAUACCUUAGUACGCUAGUACGGGCCGGUAUUCCUAUAAAAAAUGCGUACUGUACCUUAGUACGCUAGUACGGGCCGAUAUUCCUAUAAUAAAAGCGUACUGUACCAUAGUACGCUAGUACGGGACGGUAUUCCUAUAAAAAAUGAGUACUGUACCUUAGUACGUUAGUACGCUAGUGCGGGCCGGUACAUAGAAAGGGCAGUAUCCCUUUGUACACUAGUACGCUAGGAUCGACGUUACGGUUUUAGUUAUUAUUUGGGUUUCCUGUUUUGUGUAGCAGCACAGGAAGCCCAAGUAAGUAAAAAUAGCGAGAGUCGUUACUUUUGUUGAUUGUGGCAGAAGGACUAUACUACUUAAGUAGUGAAUAAUCCUUUUAUGUUUAUCUGGAGUAAGCACAGUACUAAAUGUGUCUUCCAUGAUAUUUCAAUGUGUGUUUCCAUGAUUGAUUUUUAAAAAACAUGCAGCACAGUUUAACCCAAGAUUAUGGGAUGUACGCACAGUUAGACGUCUCGUCUGCUUACUAGAGAAAACGUUUGUGAUUUUACGGUGAUUUUUACCAAGGAUUUACAGUGUAAACAUCGAAUAUUGAUAGCAUAUAGUGAGGGUUGUUUUUCUAUGUACAAGUCAUAAUGUCUAUGCUCAUGCAGCAACAGUAUACUGAAAGCCACCCCCAAGGACAAGUUGUUGGGAAUCGUAUAUACUAUAACAACAACAGCAACUGUGGCCAGUUCUGCUCGAUUCACUUUGAUAGAAGAAAAGCCUUAUUCAUGAUAGUUGUUGCCUUNUUUCUUUUCGGUAUUGCUGUGGCGAAUUUUGCAGUGGAUCUUGUUAUUUCUGGUGUGGUAUUUCUUGGUUUUAGCAUUAUCAUAUUUUCCUUUGUGGUCUGUACUUAUGUUAGACAACAAAGAGCACAAAAUCCAGGAAUGCAGCCCAAUGUGACAUAUAACCAGGUUCCUGGACAAGCAAUACCAGGACAGAACCAAGGUCCAAUGUAUCCAGCUGUGCAUAUACACCCUCCUCAGCAACAUACAGCCCAGCCAUACCCAACACAGCAACCUUAUGUCCCACCCUACCCUUCACAAAGUUACCCUAGUCAUGUAACUCAAGCACAGCCCCCCACACAGACACCAUCAAUGUCUGCAGUACCAACACAAGGUGCACAAGCUCCUCUACAACCAACGGGAGAGCCUUUGGCCCAGCCUCCACCACCAACAUAUGAAGAAGCUAUGACUUUGACACANAAAUAAUUAUUUUAUCAGCUUUUUUAAUAUUAUUUUUGGUCAAAUGGAUAUUGUUGUCUUAACAACANGACGAACACUUCUUAUUUAUGUGAAGAGCCUUUAAUAGCCCAGCCACCACUNCCAANNUAAGACUUGGNCAACUUUUANCNGCUUCUUGGCCUNGUGGAAANUUUGGUCUGAUUAACGGGCUUUAUAUCCAAGUUGGAUUUUCAAAAUAAUUUAUUUUUAAAAAACAAUAUUACCAUGCUCAGUUAAUCAAGGCUUAAGAAGCCAAUUAAUAGUAUUAAUAGAGUAUUAAUAGACAUUUUAAUNUAAUAGACUUAAAUUAUUAGACUUAACUUCAAGAUGUCUCUAAUGUAUGUACAAGUGUAUCAGUAAAUGACCAUUGUUUUA